GGAAAACUUGGUUCGCACGUACAUUUUUUUCUGGGGGAGGGGGUCCAGAGGUCUUGUCAGAGACCUGCAGUGUGAGCCGCUGCGCCCCAGGCCCUGACAGCCCCUCAGGACACAGGGAGACAGCCUGGCCCACAGGCUCCCGGGGUUCUUCCUCUCUGGCCCCCGCUUCCCUCCUCCUCCCCUGAACGAGAAGCACAGCCCUCCUUUACGUGGAUCUGAUGAUUCCCCUUCGCCUGCGCCUGGUCCCUGGGGAUCCCAGCCCUCUGCUGCCUCCUCCGUUCACACCCACACACGGAGCAUCCUACCUGGGCAGCCCCACACCUCCUCUUCCCCCGAGCCCUCCGCUGAGGGGAGGAAAGAACAUCAAUG